GAUGAACGCUGGCGGCGUGCCUAAUACAUGCAAGUCGAGCGAACGGACGAGAAGCUUGCUUCUCUGAUGUUAGCGGCGGACGGGUGAGUAACACGUGGAUAACCUACCUAUAAGGCUGGGAUAACUUCGGGAAACCGGAGCUAAUACCGGAUAAUAUUUUGAACCGCAUGGUUCAAAAGUGAAAGACGGUCUUGCUGUCACUUAUAGAUGGAUCCGCGCUGCAUUAGCUAGUUGGUAAGGUAACGGCUUACCAAGGCAACGAUGCAUAGCCGACCUGAGAGGGUGAUCGGCCACACUGGAACUGAGACACGGUCCAGACUCCUACGGGAGGUAGCAGUAGGGAAUCUUCCGCAAUGGGCGAAAGCCUGACGGAGCAACGCCGCGUGAGUGAUGAAGGUCUUCGGAUCGUAAAACUCUGUUAUUAGGGAAGAACAUAUGUGUAAGUAACUGUGCACAUCUUGACGGUACCUAAUCAGAAAGCCACGGCUAACUACGUG
rnacentral:rRNA from 1 species